GAUGAAGAACGUAGCGAAAUGCGAUAAGUAAUGUGAAUUGCAGAAUUCAGUGAAUCAUCGAAUCUUUGAACGCACAUUGCGCCCGCUAGUAUUCUGGCGGGCAUGCCUGUCCGAGCGUCAUUUCAACCCUCAAGCCCCCGGGCUUGGUGUUGGGGAUCGGCGAGCCUCCGCGCCCGCCGUCCCCUAAAUCUAGUGGCGGUCUCGCUGUAGCUUCCUCUGCGUAGAGCACACCUCGCACUGGGAAACAGCGCGGCCACGCCGUUAAACCCCCAACUUCUGAACGUUUGACCUCGGAUCAGGUAGGAAUACCCGCUGAACUUAAGCAUAUCAAUAAGCGGAGGA
rnacentral:misc_RNA from 1 species